GGGGCUGUCUAGUUUCGACAGUUUGAACCUUAAAAACUAAGCAAGUCGACUCACGUAAUAAAAGUCGUAAAACCUGAUUACACGAUUAUAAGUGCAAACUUUGUAUCAAAAGCAAAGAACGCAAUUGCUAACGCUUUUGCACCAUCUUUCGCUUCUGCUAUCGCCUAAAUACGCUUUAGCCAUCGAACUGCCUAUUUCUAGUAAGCAGACCUCGGUGCCAACCACUAGAAUAGCUCGCUAAGGUAUCUUUCGCCUAUCGGGCAAAGCUAAUCGAAAGAUCGACUAAUAAAGUUCGUUUGUCUUAAAUUUAUUAGCCAAGACUUCUGUUUUGCAACAGAAAAAAGACAAAAUAAACUUGUAGAAAUGUUUUUAGGGCCAAUUCUGGACGUGGGUUCAAUUCCCACCAGCUCCACCU
rnacentral:tmRNA from 2 species